rfam:Gossypium arboreum cultivar AKA8401 contig_64278_1, whole genome shotgun sequence.
AAUAGUUUUAUGCUACAUCAGUAUUCUUAUCCUGAAUUUCAGGAUUUUAUCCUGAAAAAAAUCAAAUUCAAAUUAAAAUACUGAAAUUCAGGAUAAGAAUACUGAUAUGACAUAAAACUAUU